GUGGGGAAUAUUGGGCAAUGGGCGAAAGCCUGACCCAGCAACGCCGCGUGAGGGAAGAAGGUUUUCGGAUCGUAAACCUCUGUCCUUAGUGAAGAGAAAGAGACGGUAGCUAAGGAGGAAGCCCCGGCUAACUACGUGCCAGCAGCCGCGGUAAUACGUAGGGGGCGAGCGUUGUCCGGAAUGAUUGGGCGUAAAGGGCGCGUAGGCGGCCUGUUAAGUCCGGAGUGAAAUUCCUGCUUUCAAGGUAGGAAGUGCUUUGGAAACUGGCGGGCUGGAGUGCAGGAGAGGUUAGCGGAAUUCCCGGUGUAGCGGUGAAAUGCGUAGAGAUCGGGAGGAACACCAGUGGCGAAGGCGGCUAACUGGACUGUAACUGACGCUGAGGCGCGAAAGUGUGGGGAGCAAACAGGAUUAGAUACCCUGGUAGUCC
rnacentral:rRNA from 1 species